AUUGAACGCUGGCGGCAGGCCUAACACAUGCAAGUCGAACGAGUGGCGGACGGGUGAGUAAUGUCUGGGAACCUGCCCGAUGGAGGGGGAUAACUACUGGAAACGGUAGCUAAUACCGCAUACCAUCGGAUGUACCCAUAUGGGAUUAGCUAGUAGGUGGGGUAACGGCUCACCUAGGCGACGCUCCCUAGCUGGUCUGAGAGGAUGACCAGCCACACUGGAACUGAGACACGGUCCAGACUCCUACGGGAGGCAGCAGUGGGGAAUAUUGCACAAUGGGCGCAAGCCUGAUGCAGCCAUGCCGCGUGUAUGAAGAAGGCCUUCGGGUUGUAAAGUACUUUCAGCGAGGAGGCGUUACUCGCAGAAGAAGCACCGGCUAACUCCGUGCCAGCAGCCGCGGUAAUAC
rnacentral:rRNA from 1 species